AUGGACGACCCGCGGGAUGUUCAAACGUCCAAGAGAAACGGGAGCUGCAGGUCGGGAUUGUCGGCCGGUUCCGCGGUCGCUAUGGAGAUUAAACGGAAGAAAAUACGGCAGAGUGCCUUAUUCCUGCAAACAGAGAACACAAACAUACAAGAAAAACUUGACUUUGAGCUGCGAAUGCGGGACGGUGCCUACAAGCUGCUGCUCGCCUGCAGUAAGAGAGAACAGGUUCUCAACGCCUCCAAGAACCUGCUGACCUGCAACGCCAGGAUCAAGGCGUAUCUCACACUGCUGCAGAAGAAGAAGGAGGAGCAGGACAUGAUGGGAAGAGUCUGGAGACUCUCAGAUCCAGUUUCAGAUGACCGUGUGCCCUGUAAUGGUACAGUUGCUAUGUCUGGGCUGCGCAUUCCUUUGAUGUGGAGGGAUUCGGACCACUUUAACAACAGAGGGAGCUCUCGCCGAGUGGCCGUGUUCUGUGUGAUGCAGAUUGGCUCAGAGGUGUUUGACACACAGAUGGUGGUGGUGGACAGAUCAGUCACUGACGUCUGCUUUGAGGGAGUCACCAUCUUUAAAGAAGCAGUUCCUCAGUUUGAGCUGAAGGUGGAGCUGUGGAGCUGUGCCCUGGAGGAAGAGCUCACGAUGGUAAACACGCCAAAGAAACUGGCCAAGAAGCUCCGCAACUCCUUUGGAAAGACUGCUGGGAAGAAGUUCUGCCCUCUGCUGGACUCUCCAGACCCUGACACCUUCCUGCAGCACAACCCCAUACCCUCCGGAGCCAAGUUCAACCUGCUGGCCUACACUACACUGCAUCUACCUGAGGCUGAAGGCAGCUUUCAGUCUCACUCCCUCAUUGUCCUCCAAGAUGCUGAGUGGUCCUCUUGGCUUCCCCUCUACGGCAACGUCUGCUGCCGGUUGGUGGCCCAGCCUACGUGCAUGACACAGAGCGUGAUGACCGGCUACCUGAGCCAGAAGCAAAGUGUGGAGGGGCUGUACCGCUGCUGCAGUCUUUACUGUGUGCUGAGCGCUGGCUUUUUGUCCUGUUACUUCACUCCGGAAGAAAUUGAUGCUAAAGUGCAGCCCACUCUCAAUGUUCCCAUCAACAAGGACACCCGGAUCCGUGUGAUGGAGAAGGAGUCAGCCGGCCAAAAAUCCAGGAGUCUGUCUAUCAUAAACCCUUCACCGGAGGGAUCUCAGACCAUCGUCUUCACCACAGAAACUGGGAAUGAGCUGGAGGACUGGCUAGACGCCCUCCACCAGCACCUCUAUGAUCAGAGCCAGUGGCUGCAGUGUUGCAACCAGCUAAUGAAGAUCGAGGUCGCGUCACCACGGAAACCAUCACUCUUCCUCACCAAGCAGGCUGACUCUGUUUACAAUGACCUCAGUAUAAAUUCACCUGGCAAGUUUGAGAGCAUCACAGACAUCAUCCACAACAAGAUAGAGGAGACGGAUGGCCGCUUUCUUAUUGGUCAUGAAGAGGAAAAGGAAGCGGCUAACUGGUCCAGUCUGUUUGAUGGGUCCCAUUCAGUGGUAGUGCAGAAGAGUAUUCUGUCCCAGAGCAAAACCUCUACCCCUUGUCCAAGCCCCAACCAUAACACCAGCUCUACGUCCAUCAACAAGAAGCGCCGUGCCCCGCCCCCACCCUCUGACAGAGAGCCUUACGCUCCUCCCACUCGUCCGGCCAGACCUCCCCUUCCUGCUUCUCUUCAUCCUCCUCCUCCUCCCCCAUACCAGGAGAAGGAGAACUCUGGCACCUCACGCCCGUCCACAAGGUCCAAGACCGGCAGACCAUCUCUGGAUGCCAAAUUCUCUGCCAUCAUCCAGCAGCUCCAGCGAAACAACACUCCAGGAGCCGGAGCCCUCAGCCGUAAGAACGCCCCCCUGGGCGUCCUCGAUGUACAACCACAAAGUCAGCCUCAGGCCUCUCUCCAGCAGCUGGAGUACCAGAACCACCACAUCCACAACACUGAAGCCACAGGUGAACAUGGCUUCCUCAGACCAAGUCACGGUCCUGGUCCUGUUCCUGCACCGAGGAGCAAACUGAGAAAGUCUUUCAGAGAGAGGAUGAACUUUAAAGCCUUGUGACUUCGACUUUCGACAUUAUCCAGAUUUAACUAACUAACUCCACCUGACCACUAAAACAAACAACUAACGACAGCUAACCCAUAGAUGAAAUUGAAAGCUGUACGUUGGCUUGAGCACCGCCAUCAUCAAUCCCACUAAAAUGGAAAGGCUUAUUUCUCAGCUCUGCCACUGGAACAUGGGCCGAAGAAAGAGCCUUUGCAAAAGCACUCAAAUUGGAAUUGAUCCAUCGGCCGACUGUGGACGAGUCAUUCCUUUUGGAACUAUUGACUUAUUCCACUCACUGUGACAAUUUUAUGACCACUAUAGCUGAUUUUAAGGGAGCAGGAUUUUAGGAGCAAUUGCAAGCACUAAUGUGACUUCUCCAUUUCCCAGAGGUCUUAAUAAUGGAGUGACCUUGGUUUUCAGUGGCUACACAGUAUGUCCAACAUAAUUUAACACUGCAGCCCAUAAAUGCUAUGAACAUAAUUGAAUGAAUGAGUCUUUUGAGUGGCUAAAAUAAUGAAUGCCCUUGUUUUUGUGUUUUGAACAUAUCCAAUACUGCCAGCCACUAAAUAUUUCAACCACUUAACAGUCACGUGUUGAAUGAUCUUUAUAAUUACACAGAGUGUACAAAACAUGAGGUUGAGCUACUUUCUCUGAAAUUACCUGGACAGAUGAAGCAGUAUGGUGAAAGCUACAAGCCCAUUUUUCUUUAUCCCACCCUCUAAAUUCGGUUUAAUCAAGAAGGGGAGAUGUAGAUUUGGAGGGAGGCAGAUUACAGGAGGAUUUAGUUUUAAGCCUUGAAAGAACCGAGAAUGGUUUGUACAAAAGGGGAUGCUGCUCAAUAUUAGUAGAGUGUUGGAAAUGUUUUCUAUCCUCUGUGUGUGUAUUACCAACACAUUAGGGACUUUGAUGUUGUACUGUAUAUACCUGGAAAAACAAGGGAAGACUUUAGGGUCAACCCUCAUAGCAUUAGUUUUUACUGAUGCUAAUGUGGUUACACAUCGGGCUGUAUGAUAUCAUCACAGUAAUUAUAUUACACUUCCUGCAUCCCCCACUACUUUCAAUUACAUGUAAAUAUUACUGACAAUUUGUGAACACUAACAUUUCUUUGUAGUAUUUCAGGUUAACCGUGUAGCUGGUGAAAGCCGUUUCAUGUAACCAGUAUAGUCAAAUAUUUCCCCUGUGGAUAUUAAGCUUGAGGAAGAGCAUGUGAUCUAAAUGAAACUAACUGCUUUAUGACUAAACAAGGGCGGAACAUUAUUGCUUUGAUCAGAGCCAAACUAAUGAGCCAAAUUUAUAUUCAUUAGAGAUAUAUGUACUUGUCUUUUAUCUUUGUCUUUUCAUUUGUUAAUUACACAUGACAGCAAUAACAGUAACAGCAAUCAUUUUUAUUUUUUUUAUUAAAAUGUUUUGUGAUUUCUUUUGAUAGUGUAAUACUGUUAUGUCAUCUCAAUGUUACUUCUAGCACACAAAUUAUUUAGACUAAGUGGCACUGUGUUUAUGUAGUAGUGAGUAGGGAUACAGUAAAUUUGUCUUUAGUGCAGUGUAAAAAAUAUUGUUUUUGUUUCUCAAAAAGUGCAAUUUUCUCCUCACUCUCUGUUCACUGUUGUCUUGGAAGCUAACUGUAUUUUUUAUUAUUGCUGAUCUGCAAUAAAACAGCCUACAUUCUA